AUGAGCUUCUACAGCCUUCAUGUGACCCUCCAUCAGGAGGUGGCCAAAUACCAGUCGAGGUUCUUCUGGGCUGGUGAGGGCGACAAGAAGAAGUACCAUAUGGUGAGCUGGCCCGACAUCUGCAAACCCAAAGACCAGGGUGGCCUUGGGAUCCUGUCAUCCCGACGCAUGAACAUUGCCCUCCUGACCCGAUGGCUGUGGCGUAUUGCCAAUGGGGAGGGAGGCCUCUGGCUCACCAUAAUCCAUAAUAAGUACCUCCGUGGCCAACCUCUUGCCUUUUGCCAACGUACGGGUAGAUCCCAGUUCUGGCAGUCCGUGAUCCAGCUUCUGCCCAUACUACGCAUCGGCACAUCCAUCUCGGUUGGCUCCGGGGCCUCGACCUUGUUCUGGUUCGACCGCUGGCUUGGGGACUCCCCCCGGCCACGCGAUUCCCAGAACUAUUUGCCAUUGAGGCUGACCCUCGGGUCUCUGUCGAGACGACCCUUAUUGACUUAG
rnacentral:rRNA from 1 species